AGCCUGAUGCAGCAACGCCGCGUGAGGGAUGACGGCCUUCGGGUUGUAAACCUCUUUUAGCAGGGAAGAAGCGAAAGUGACGGUACCUGCAGAAAAAGCACCGGCUAACUACGUGCCAGCAGCCGCGGUAAUACGUAGGGUGCAAGCGUUAUCCGGAAUUAUUGGGCGUAAAGAGCUCGUAGGCGGUCUGUCGCGUCUGCUGUGAAAUUCCGAGGCUCAACCUCGGGCUUGCAGUGGGUACGGGCAGACUAGAGUGCGGUAGGGGAGAUUGGAAUUCCUGGUGUAGCGGUGGAAUGCGCAGAUAUCAGGAGGAACACCGAUGGCGAAGGCAGAUCUCUGGGCCGUAACUGACGCUGAGGAGCGAAAGGGUGGGGAGCAAACAGGCUUAGAUACCCUGGUAGUCCACCCCGUAAACGUUGGGAACUAGUUGUGGGGUCCUUUCCACGGAUUCCGUGACGCAGCUAACGCAUUAAGUUCCCCGCCUGGGGAGUACGGCCGCAAGGCUAAAACUCAAAGGAAUUGACGGGGACCCGCACAAGCGGCGGAGCAUGCGGAUUAAUUCGAUGCAACGCGAAGAACCUUACCAAGGCUUGACAUACACGAGAACGGGCCAGAAAUGGUCAACUCUUUGGACACUCGUGAACAGGUGGUGCAUGGUUGUCGUCAGCUCGUGUCGUGAGAUGUUGGGUUAAGUCCCGCAACGAGCGCAACCCUCGUUCUAUGUUGCCAGCACGUAAUGGUGGGAACUCAUGGGAUACUGCCGGGGUCAACUCGGAGGAAGGUGGGGAUGACGUCAAAUCAUCAUGCCCCUUAUGUCUUGGGCUUCACGCAUGCUACAAUGG
rnacentral:rRNA from 1 species